GUUUCAAAUUAAAACAAGGAUGUUUAGCUUUUGUAUCAUACAUUCACCAGUCAUAAAAUAUGGGUUAUGCCUGGGGAGGAGCUUGAAAUUGGAUGAGGCAGCCCUGUCAGCUUCGAACAACUGCUGGGGAAAAGCUCAUAUGGAAGCAAGUACCAGGAAAAACUUCUGCAAGCAAAAGGAAUGGUGACUAAGUUCUGAAGGAGGGACUCCCAUGGUAUGCCAAGAUUGAACAGGAGAAUCUGGAACCAGGAGUGAGCAGAGCUGGCCCCAGGCCUUGGUGGCUGUGUACUAGUUCUGUGACCUGCAAUCAGUCACUUAACUUCUGUGAGCUCCUCUCUUUCCGUCUGUAAAAAAGGAAUAUGUACUACCCACUUCCUGAGUAGAUGUUGAAGAUGUUGUAAAAGGUUCGAGUCAACCAAUUAAAAGCAAUAGAUCACAUGAAGAUGAGUAUAUCUUCUGUUUGUUGGGACAUAAUCCAGAGAGGAUCUUUCUCCCCAGAUAUUAUGGGAUGGCCACAUUUUACAGCUGAGAGUGACAAGGCUUAGAAACUAAACAUAUAAGGUCCUGCCCCAUCUCCUGGAAGAAGGAAUGCUACACAGAGAGGCUAAGAAGACUCUGGACAGUGCAGAAUCUGGAGCUAGAGAAAAAUUUAAAAAGCCACAAGGAUGUGAAUUGCUGAGCCUGAGAUAGAAGAGGUAGGGAAAAAAAACAUAAGAACCUGCUUGUCUUCUGUUGAGUUAAAACGAACUAUUUUUUAAAAUAGUGUGAAAUAAAGGAAAUGAGAGACAUAUUAAGGAUAUGCUACAGUGAAUGUAGAGACAAGUGUAAGAGGGAUUUAGAAAGACAUAUUUAAUAUGUUUUUCUGAGUAGUUUUAAUGAGAACUCACUUUGAUAUUUAUAAGGAGAUAACAAACUUGAUGUAAAUUAACUUACAAUCAUUUUGGGUUGUCAUACUAAAGUUUCUUAAAAUGUGACUUGAUGUCAGAACUAGAGCAAAAAUCUGCUUAGUUUAAAGUAAUUUGUUUAAUUGUUUGGAAUUUCUCUUGGCAUUCUUAUUUCUCUCCCCAAAUACAGUGUAUGUUUCUGAAAAGCAAAGGUUCAGUGUUUCCCAUAGUAACUAUUCUCUGCCUUAGAUAUAUUAUUCACUUAGUAAUCCUUUGUUAUAAUAAGAUAUUGCAUUUUGAAUUUUUUCAUUACUGUUAUUAUUUUUAUAUCACUAUUAUUGACUAAUUCAUAAUGAACGCUAAUUAUGUGUCAAGGCCUGUGCUAACAUUCAGAAAUGCCUCACCUCAUUUAAUCAUCACAGUCUAGGCUCAUGAAGGGAUUAUUGCAAUAAUUCAUGUUAGAGAUGACCAGUUUAUGAGCUAGUCCAUUUGAAACAGGAAUACAAAAACAGGGCAGAUAAAAAAACAUACCUGGAGAGCAAAAUCAACAGAACUUGAGUGCAUAUUACACGUGGACACAGCAGAGAAAUAAAGUUGAAGAUGACUUAGAAGAAAAGGAAGCCUUGAGAGUUUAUGUCAAGUUACCAAGAGAGGUUGAGGAUUCUUCUUCAAGGCUCACCUGCUCACCUUAAGUAAGCUGCUGCUGUCUCAACGUAAGAUCAGUAAAAGGCUUCUUGAGGGUCUAUCGAGUUUUUAAAUGACUGAUGCUUCUAUAUAAAGAAGGUGACAAGAACUUCAUGGAACUUCUACCACAUGCCAUACCUUCCACAAUAUGAACUAUCUCAUUUAAUCUGCAAAAAGCCCAUUUUUCACAAAAGGCAAUGGAGGCUCCACAUUGCUGGCCAGAGUGGUAUUUUCUGUAGCUGUAAAUGUAUUUUCUGUAGCCAAAAUAAAAUAAAUGUCCAGUUAUAUAAGAAUAACUGUAUAAAUGACAAUAUAUCCAUCUAAUGGACCAUUACACAGCCAUUAAAAAUGGCAGCCUUGAAAGCAAUUUUAUGCCAUAUGAAAAUGUUCAUGAUAUAAUGUUAUAAUGAUUGAAAAAAAUUAGAGUGCCCAAUAAUACGCAUGAGAUUUCAGUUUUACAAGAAAUAUUCACUCUCAGCAGGAAGAAUGAAACUGAGCUCAAGUAAGGUGCUCCUGUCCUAGACUGUGCAUUCAUGCAUCAUGUGUUCCAAACAAGUAAAACUUACAGUAGUAUCUGCCCUUUUGAUAUUGCCCACUGAGACCUGCCAUGCUCAUGUGAAUCUUCUUUUUCUAGCUGAUAUUUCUGAAGUCAGAAUUUUGUCAGCUCCCAAAUCAUCUGCCAUACUCCUCCUGCCCCUGUGCUUUGCCCUGUCUGGAUUUGUUCUUGUUUUUGUCCUUGCCUCAUUGUAAACUAGUAGCCUGGCAUACAUCUAUGUAUUCAAUGGUUUUUACUUUCAUUUCUCAUAUGUCUAUAGAAGGUCUAUACUGGUGUUAUCCCAUGGGGAUAUGGAAGCCAUAAAUACACUGUACAUAUGUAAUGUGAAAUUUUUCAGAAUUCACACUAAGAUAUGUGGAUACUUUUUACAACAAAAACAGAAACAAGU
rnacentral:lncRNA from 1 species